CUGUUCUUUGUGACCUCACUCACCCUCAUCACUGAGAAAACAGAAGAUUUGAGAUGUUUGGGAGAGCAGGAAUUGAUAAGAAAGAAUGAGUGAUGAUAAAAGAAUAGUAAAAGAGCAAAAGAAAGGAGAGAGGAAGAAAGAGAAUGGAAAAAAGUGAAGUUUUAAGUCAAACAUUAAUUUUCCUCUAUUUCAGUUCUCAUUAAUCUAUUAAAUUAUUUUAUUAAGUUUUUAUGAUAUCCUCAAGAUUAAUGAACUUUGUAAUGAACAACAACUCAACUUUCCUUGCUGGAAAAUGAAAUCCAAACAAGAAUGACAAUGUCAGAACAUUUUUCUUUUUUCUUUUCAGAAUAAUACCACAGCCACUAUUAUCCAUAAGGAUUUUAGAAGAACCAUUGUCUAUCAGAGAAAAAAGCGACACAGCAAAAUGACCUCCCAAGAAGUUUUAGGUACUGUCUGUUCUCAGUUGUUCAGAUUUCUACAGCAAUAUCCUAUCUGUAAUUUUAAAUGAAAUUACUACUGCUACGACAAGCAUAUGGAAAAGCUUCUAUCCAGAGAAAACAAAAGGAACUGUUGCUUCUGCGAAUGUUAGGAAGAUAAAAAUUUUGAAGGUACUCGACAUAGGCAAAUUCACCUGCCAAUUAGAUCAUCUGAGAAUCCUAAAAUGUGAGUGGUGGGGUAAAAUGUAUGAACUUUUUAUUCUUGUGUUAAUUUCACCUCCUUUCUGAAGAUAUUGCAAAAG
rnacentral:lncRNA from 1 species